ensembl:lncRNA
CUGCAGAACCCUGACUAACACGUCAGUCUGAGGGGAUGGUGCCUCUUCAGCAUCCAUUAGGGGGGCGUACGCUUCCCAAGUGACAACUACCUCCCUGCGUGCUGUUUACAAAGUGCUUCCGCAGAUGUCCAGUUUAAUUCCCACACACACCCUGAGAAGGAGGAACUUGUAUUCGCCCAGAUGAGCGACCCAGGACCAAAAUAGUUCUGAGCUUUGCCUGAGGUCCCGCGGCUGUAAAGAGGAAGUUGCCCUGGAGUAAGUGGUUUGGAAGGAGAGCCAGCUGUGGAUGACCAGGAGAUCACAUGCAAAGCCCAGAGACACUUCCAAGAGCAAAGGAAGCCCCCACUUGAUGGUCAGCAAGGAAAUGGGGACCUCAGUCCUACAACCACAAGGAACCAAAUUGGGCCAACAACGUGAAUAAGGGCAAAAUGCAUUUCCCCCUAGCACCUCCAUAACAAUGCAGCCCUGAUGGCACUUUUUUAAGCCAGUGCUGGAUUUCUGACCUACAAAAACUGUGAGAUAAUAAACAUAUGUUGUUU